rnacentral:rRNA from 1 species
AUUGAACGCUGGCGGCAGGCCCAACACAUGCAAGUCGAACGGUAACAGGAAGCAGCUUGCUGCUUUGCUGACGAGUGGCGGGCGGGUGAGACAUGUCUGUGAAACUGCCUGAUGGAGGGGGAUAACUACUGGAAACGGUAGCUAAUACCGCAUAACGUCUCAAGCCCAAAGAGGGGGACCUUCGGGCCUCUUUCCAUCCGAUGUGCCCAGAUGGGAUUAGCUAGUAGGUGGGGUAACGGCUCACCUAGGCGACGAUCCCUAGCUGGUCUGAGAGGAUGACCAGCCACACUGGAACUGAGACACGGUCCAGACUCCUACGGGAGGCAGCAGUGGUGAAUAUUGCACAAUGGGCGCAAGCCUGAUGCAGCCAUGCCGCGUGUAUGAAGAAGGCCUUCGGGUUGUAAAGUACUUUCAGCGGGGAGGAAGGGAGUAAAGUUAAUCCCUUUGCUCAUUGACGUUACCCGCAGAAGAAGCACCGGCUAACUCCGUG